rnacentral:rRNA from 1 species
UACGUAGGGUGCGAGCGUUAAUCGGAAUUACUGGGCGUAAAGCGUGCGCAGGCGGUUUUGUAAGCCAGAUGUGAAAUCCCCGGGCUUAACCUGGGAAUGGCAUUUGGGACUGCAAGGCUUGAGUGCGGCAGAGGAGACUGGAAUUCCUGGUGUAGCAGUGAAAUGCGUAGAUAUCAGGAGGAACACCGAUGGCGAAGGCAGGUCUCUGGGCUGACACUGACGCUCAUGCACGAAAGCGUGGGGAACAAACAGG